rnacentral:rRNA from 1 species
AUUACCAAUAUUUUUAAAUAUUGGAGGACUCACAGAUAUAAAUCCCUAGCGUAACUUUUUCUAUAAUCCAAGACCUUUCCUUUAUGCAUCUUGUGAUCAUAUGCCCCGCUUACGCGACUGAUAGACUUGUAGGUCAAACAGUAAAGCAAGAUUUAGCCAUUAAACUUUUAAAGUAUAAUUAAUUAUCAUAUCAAUAAAGAUAAAAUACAAUAUUAAUAUGAGAAAAAACUUUUAAAUAUCCCGGAGUUGGAUCACUCCCUCCCCGGGUAAAGUUUAAAAUACAUCUAUUCACCAUAUAGUUAAAAUCUUACUUAAAUAAAAAAUAAAUAUUGAACUUAAUCUAACAAUAACUGUAUAAUUAUGAAUAUAAUUAUAACAAAUUAAAAUAUUUGUAAAGAAAUUUACAAAUUUACAAAAUGAACUUUGGAUAUACCCAGGUACUUUUUGUGGGAUCUGUGCCCCGCAUAAACUGCCUCCCAAUCCUCAAGAGCAUAUAGUAGGAAACGAAUAAAGGUGUUUCAUUGUUAUCAAACAACUACCUUAUACACUCGAAAUCAUCCUAAAUUUCCACUCUUGCAAUUAGUAACAGUAAAGCUGCAUAGGGUCUUCUCGUCUAUCUAGAGGUAAACAGUAUCUGCACUGCUAUUCCAAUUUCACUGAGACAAUCAUCGAGACAGCUGUUGUAUCGUUAAGUCAUUCAUGCAGGACCGCAUUUAACGGCCAAGGUAUUUCGCUACCUUAGGACCCUCAUAGGUAAGGCCGCCAUUAAUCGGGGUAUCCUUCAAAACCUCAGUUAAAAACCAAGGUAAAUCCGUUACCCAGCCGACAUUGGGCAGACAUCACACUCAAUACUUUGAUAUUUUAUCUUUGCAGAGUGCUGUGUUUUUAUUAAACAGUCGUACAACAUUAUUUCAUGUUUCCUCUUAUGAUUAGUUUAAUUAAAUCAUAUCAUAAGAUAUGUUAAACUAAUCAUAAUGGCCCUCCUUAUCCCGAAGUUACGGUAGUCAAUUUGCCGAGUUCCUUAAUGAUUGUUCACUCAAACGCCUUUGUAUUCUCUACUUGCUUACUUGUGAUAGUAUCUAGGUACGGUAUAUAUAAACCUUACUUAUACAAUAGUAUAAAAAAGAAAAUAUAUUUAAUAUAGAUAAAAUCUAUACAAUCUUGAAAACUUGUAACAAGAAAAUUAUAUAAAUUAUAAUAUACCUAUAUUGCAUUAUACUUCACUUAAUAAAAAUAAAAAAUUUUCCAGAACCUUUAUUACUUGUUAAAGGUUUUGUUUUUUAUUUUUAAGUAUUUAUAUAUAAAUAUCAUCAAAAUUACCUUUUGAUUAAUACUUUUAGAUACCGAAAAUUAAAUAUAAUACCAUAAGCUUAAGGCGAGGAUAUUCCUUUUUCGUUACUCAUGUCAGCAUUCUCUCUUGGAUUAUAUCGAUGGAUUAUAUUAAUAAUAAAGACAGAUAUAAUCUAUCUAUAUAUUCAUCUAAACAUUAUACCUUUUAGGUAUAAUAAUAUUACAUAAAUAUCUUUAAUAAAUAAAUAUUUUUAAUAAUAAUCCAUACUUAUUACUUCUUAGAAGAAAUAAUAAUUAAUAUUUAUCCAAUGUUCCGCUACCCCACAUAUACAAUAUUAAUAUUAUAAAUAUGUGUACAAGGUUUCGGUAUAUUGUUUAGAUCCGUUAAAUUUUCGGUGUUUUUUUCUAAAUUUAAUUAAUCAGUGCUCUGUUACGAGGUCUUCAAAAAAUGGCCGCUUCUAAGCCUAUUUCCUGAUUGUUUUUAAAAAAAACAUCCUUAAUUUCACUCAACAAUAAUUUUGGAACCUUAACUCUUGUUCUGGGCUGUUUCCCUUUAGACAUACAACCUUAUCGCACUAUGUCCGAUUAUUCAACAUUCAUCUUUGCCAUUCCGAGUGCAAAUACUCUCCGGUAAAGUCACUACAACCCCCCGAUGUUGACAAAAUCAAAAGAUAUUGUCCGAGAUCACAGUUCUGUACCUGCUAAGAUGUUAGUUAAAUUACCUACUCAUAUAGGUUUCGCGGAAAACCAGCUAUACUAGUCAGUUUUGUCUUUCACUAACUUACCACAAUUCUUCGGAUAUCUAUACAACGAUAACCCGUUCGGACUUUUAUAAUCCUGACCAUGGUAAGAUCACUAGCCUUCGGGUCUAAUUCUAGAUACUUAUUCAUUUUCUCAUAAUUGGUUUAUCUAAGCUAGUUCCAUGCGCAAAGCGCACGAAAUCAUUGCUUGCAUCUAAAAUUAACUUGCUGACCCAUUAUGCAAAAGGUACACUCUUAUUACUUAUUUAAAUUUUCACUCGAGCUGCUUAUAAAACUACUAUUUCAAAUUUUACCUCACGGUACUUUUCACUAUCGCUUAUAUAUCAUAUUUAGCCUUAGAGGAAGGUUCCCCUAUAUUCAAACAGAUUUUAAUCCAUUUUACUUUAACAAGUUUUGUUAAUAGGCUCUUGUUAUUUAGUUUGCACCAAAUAACAAUCUCGUUUGAUUUCUUUUCCUAAAGUUACUAAGAUAUUUCAAUUCACUUCGUUUAUUAUUCGAUUUCUCUUAGAAACUAGAUUUACUAGUUAUUCUUUAAUAUAUAGCUAAUUAUCCAUAAUAAUUUCUUUAUAUACUUGCC